rnacentral:rRNA from 1 species
AAACCGUUCAGGGGUAAACCUGAGAAACCCGAAAGUUCGAAAGGAGAGAUUCACCGCGACUCGUGUCGUCGGCGGGUACGAUUGCGGACGCUUGACUUCGGUCUCGCGACGAAUUCGUCUCGUACAGGACGUGCGAUCGCGUGCACUUCUCUCCCAGUAGGACGUCGCGACCCGUUGGGCGUCGGUCUACGAUCGACGGUGGAGUCCGCGAGGCGAUCUCCGGAUCUUGUCCUCGCGAACCCGUCGCAUCUGACCGGCUCGCUCGACGGUAGAAAACGAAGAGCGCGGGGCCGCGACCUAGUUCGCGUCCGGCCCGUCGCAAGCGUGUUCGGUAAUCUGGUGCACUUUCGGCGGCCUCGUGUCGCCGGUCCCGGAUCCGAACUACUGUUCGCGACGGUGUCCUCGGACAGACUCCGUAUACACGCUCGUCGGCGACGCUAUCGUUUUGGGUACUUUCAGGACCCGUCUUGAAACACGGACCAAGGAGUCUAGCAUGCACGCGAGUCUUCGGGACUCUUGUAUUAAACCUAAAGGCGAAAUGAAAGUGAAGGUCCGCCUCGGCGCGCGACCUAGGGAAGAUGGGAAGCCCCGUCAAACGGGCAACUCCGCAUUCCCGGGGCGUCUCGAUCUCAUCGCGAGAUGAGGCGCACCCUGAGCGUACACGCU